UCAGUUGUUUCAAGGUUGUCCCAACAUUUCGACCCCUAAGGGUCUUUUUCAAUGUCCUUGAAAAAGACCCUUAGUGGUCGAAACGUUGGGACAACCUUGAAAUAACUGAAUUAUCUUCACG